AGAGUUUGAUCCUGGCUCAGGAUGAACGCUGGCGGCGUGCUUAACACAUGCAAGUCGAACGGAGCGAUGACACGGAGUCUUCGGACGAAGUGUUAUGGCUUAGUGGCGGACGGGUGAGUAACACGUGAGCAACCUACCUUUUGCAGGGGAAUAACUCUGGGAAACCAGGGCUAAUACCGCAUGACGUGCACGGAAGGCAUCUUUUGUGCAUGAAAGGAUUAUAUCCGGCAGAAGAUGGGCUCGCGUCCGAUUAGGUAGUUGGUGAGGUAAAGGCUCACCAAGCCGACGAUCGGUAGCCGGACUGAGAGGUCGAUCGGCCACAUUGGGACUGAGACACGGCCCAGACUCCUACGGGAGGCAGCAGUGGGGAAUAUUGGGCAAUGGGCGGAAGCCUGACCCAGCGACGCCGCGUGAAGGAGGAAGGCUUUCGAGUUGUAAACUUCUUUGGGGAGGGACGAAGAUGACGGUACCUCCAGAACAAGCCACGGCUAACUACGUGCCAGCAGCCGCGGUAAUACGGAGGAUGCAAGCGUUAUCCGGAUUUAUUGGGUUUAAAGGGUGCGUAGGUGGGCUUAUAAGUCAGCGGUGAAAUCCCCCGGCUCAACCAGGGAAUUGCCGUUGAUACUGUUAGCCUUGAGUACAGUUGAAGUGGGCGGAAUGUAGCAUGUAGCGGUGAGAUGCAUAGAUAUGCUACAGAACACCAAUAGCGAAGGCAGCUCACUAAGUUGUAACUGACACUAAUGCACGAAAGCGUGGGGAUCAAACAGGAUUAGAUACCCUGGUAGUCCACGCUGUAAACGAUGAUCACUCGUUGUUGGCGAUAUACAGUCAGCGACUGAACGAAAGUAUUAAGUGAUCCACCUGGGGAGUACGAUCGCAAGGUUGAAACUCAAAGGAA
rnacentral:rRNA from 1 species